CGUGAGGAACCUGCCUUCCAGAGGGGGACAACAGUUGGAAACGACUGCUAAUACCGCAUGACGCAUUGGUGUCGCAUGGCACUGAUGUCAAAGAUUUAUCGCUGGAAGAUGGCCUCGCGUCUGAUUAGCUAGUUGGUGAGGUAACGGCCCACCAAGGCGACGAUCAGUAGCCGGACUGAGAGGUUGGCCGGCCACAUUGGGACUGAGAUACGGCCCAGACUCCUACGGGAGGCAGCAG
rnacentral:rRNA from 1 species